rnacentral:ncRNA from 1 species
GGGAGUAAUGUAUGAUCCUGUAUUUUUACAAUAUAAUAAAACGUUCACAAGGUGUAAGAAACGCAACGGUGUUUUAAACGGGAAUUACUGUCUAAAAACAGCUCAUAUCUAAUGAGCUGGUUGGCGAAGUAAUAGUUUGACCAAGGCGAAGAUUUGCAGCUGCCUUCAGAGGGGGAACGGCCACAUUGAGACUGAAAGACAGCUCCCGCUUUUAGCUG